GACGAACGCUGGCGGCGUGCUUAACACAUGCAAGUCGAGCGGGAUCCAACCGGUGGCAACACCGGGGAAGAUCUAGCGGCGAACGGGUGAGUAACACGUGAGCAACCUGCCCCGAAGACUGGGAUAACACCGGGAAACCGGUGCUAAUACCGGAUGUCGUCAUUAGGCCGCAUGACCUGAUGAUGAAAGGAUUCAUCGCUUCGGGGAGGGGCUCGCGGGCUAUCAGCUUGNGGGUGGGGUAACGGCCUACCAAGGCGACGACGGCUAGCUGGUCUGAGAGGACGACCAGCCACACUGGGACUGAGACACGGCCCAGACUCCUACGGGAGGCAGCAGUGGGGAAUCUUGCGCAAUGGGCGAAAGCCUGACGCAGCAACGCCGCGGUGGGGGA
rnacentral:rRNA from 1 species